UUGACAUGUCCGACAAAAACCAUGCUAGUCUUUUUAUUUUUGGUAUAAUAUCCACAGACUGCUUAAACUGAUUAUGCCCUUUUUCUCUUUGCAUUAUCAGAAGCGCGGCAUGGCUAAGAUCAAGCCAAAGGCGUUGUUGGCACAAAGCAAAGUGAAGAAGGGCCCUAGCCAAAUCAGCGUGACCACCAUCUUCACCUACUUGGUCCUUGGUGUCGUAGUUGUGUCCUCCGUUUAUGCUGCAUACAAAUACUGGGUAGGCAAAGGACCAGCCGUGACAGCAGCCGGCGUCGAGGGGAAUUAAACCCCAACUAUGUAACUGAUUUUGUUGUUGUAUCAUCCGCUUGGAUACUUUUGGUUGUUGCAGCCCAGUAAAUGGAACAUGGAUAGAUUACAUCUUGCUACAGUUUUAUUGUAAUCCGAGGGUACAUUGUAUUGAUAUAUGUAUGCUAAAUUCCUUUCUCUUCGGUAUGAAUGCCUAUACUGGAAGCCUGGAACUACCUCAAGUUUGAGGUGGUAUUCUUGCUGUUCUGGGAUUUCUUGUUAGUAGUUGAACCGUUGAAGACACUGGAAAGAUGCAGUAUAACAGUAUGUUUAUUAUGGCAGUUGAAGGAAUCGGGAAUAGUGCUGUGCACAAAUCCUGAAAGACUAUUGUGGUGCAAGAAAAAUAGAUUUCUGAGCUUAUCCUA
rnacentral:lncRNA from 1 species